GAUGAACGCUGGCGGCGUGCCUAAUACAUGCAAGUCGAGCGAACAGACGAGGAGCUUGCUCCUCUGACGUUAGCGGCGCACGGGUGAGUAACACGUGGAUAACCUACCUAUAAGACUGGUAUAACUUCGGGAAACCGGAGCUAAUACCGGAUAAUAUAUUGAACCGCAUGGUUCAAUAGUGAAAGACGGUUUUGCUGUCACUUAUAGAUGGAUCCGCGCCGCAUUAGCUAGUUGGUAAGGUAACGGCUUACCAAGGCAACGAUGCGUAGACGACCUGAGAGAGUGAUAGGCCACACUGGAACUGAGACACGGUCCAGACUCCUAAGGGAGGCAGCAGUAGGGAAUCUUCCGCAAUGGGCGAAAGCAUGACGGAGCAACGCCGCGUGAGUGAUGAAGGUCUUCGGAGCGUAAAACUCUGUUAUUAGGGAAGAACAAAUGUGGAAGUAACUAUGCACGUAGUGACGGUACCUAAUCAGAAAGCCACGGCUAACUACGUG
rnacentral:rRNA from 1 species